UGGUUUCCUUCGCUGAAUUGCUCUCAUCUUUUGUGCUGGAACCGGUCGAAAGAGACUCGAUAAAUGCCUGUAAAAGGAUAUUGGUUGGGAAAGCGUUGAUUCCCUCCAACGGAAGAGCCACCUCAAGCCGACAGAACGUUCAAAUUCAAAUCCAAAUAGAGACCAUAGUUGGGCGGCGUAGUUGUUCUAGGCAAAUGGCGCAGCGCACCAAAUCUUCCAAUGUUUGACUGGCGUGACGAAGAGGCACUUUCGAACGCUCGGACGUCGGACGCUUUUCCUCAUUUAAUGUCGGAGAUCGACGAAGAUUCUUAUGACGGCUGCUGUUCGGAUUUGCUCCGGAUCCAGGAAUGUAAUGUUUAUUCGCCUCUUUGUCCGUUACGACGAGAGGCAUUUUGAUGUAUCCUUUAUUUUUCGGCUCACAAGUUUACAGCUAGAAUAAAGAGGUAACAGUUA